GCUGUUGUAGCUCAGUCGGUAGAGCACGUCCUUGGUAAGGACGAGGUCAUGAGUUCGAAUCUCAUCAACAGCU
rnacentral:tRNA from 1 species